rnacentral:rRNA from 1 species
UUAAGCGACUAAGCGUACACGGUGGAUGCCCUGGCAGUCAGAGGCGAUGAAGGACGUGCUAAUCUGCGAUAAGCGUCGGUAAGGUGAUAUGAACCGUUAUAGCCGGCGAUUUCCGAAUGGGGAAACCCAGUGCAAUUCGUUGCACUAUCAUUACGUGAAUACAUAGCGUAAUGAAGCGAACCGGGGAACUGAAACAUCUAAGUACCCCGAGGAAAAGAAAUCAACCGAGAUUCCCCCAGUAGCGGCGAGCGAACGGGGAGCAGCCCAGAGUCUGAAUCAGCUUGUGUGUUAGUGGGAACGGUCUGGAAAGUCCGACGGUACAGGGUGAUAGUCCCGUACACCAAAACACACAGGUUGUGAACUCGAAGAGUAGGGCGGGACACGUGGUAUCCUGUCUGAAUAUGGGGGGACCAUCCUCCAAGGCUAAAUACUCCUGACUGACCGAUAGUGAACCAGUACCGUGAGGGAAAGGCGAAAAGAACCCCGGCGAGGGGAGUGAAAAAGAACCUGAAACCGUGUACGUACAAGCAGUGGGAGCCUCUUUAUGGGGUGACUGCGUACCUUUUGUAUAAUGGGUCAGCGACUUAUAUUCUGUAGCAAGGUUAACCGAAUAGGGGAGCCGAAGGGAAACCGAGUCUUAACUGGGCGUUAAGUUGCAGGGUAUAGACCCGAAACCCGGUGAUCUAGCCAUGGGCAGGUUGAAGGUUGGGUAACACUAACUGGAGGACCGAACCGACUAAUGUUGAAAAAUUAGCGGAUGACUUGUGGCUGGGGGUGAAAGGCCAAUCAAACCGGGAGAUAGCUGGUUCUCCCCGAAAGCUAUUUAGGUAGCGCCUCGUGAACUCAUCUUCGGGGGUAGAGCACUGUUUCGGCUAGGGGGUCAUCCCGACUUACCAACCCGAUGCAAACUGCGAAUACCGAAGAAUGUUAUCACGGGAGACACACGGCGGGUGCUAACGUCCGUCGUGAAGAGGGAAACAACCCAGACCGCCAGCUAAGGUCCCAAAGUCAUGGUUAAGUGGGAAACGAUGUGGGAAGGCACAGACAGCCAGGAUGUUGGCUUAGAAGCAGCCAUCAUUUAAAGAAAGCGUAAUAGCUCACUGGUCGAGUCGGCCUGCGCGGAAGAUGUAACGGGGCUAAACCAUGCACCGAAGCUGCGGCAGCGACACUAUGUGUUGUUGGGUAGGGGAGCGUUCUGUAAGCCGUUGAAGGUGGCCUGUGAGGGUUGCUGGAGGUAUCAGAAGUGCGAAUGCUGACAUAAGUAACGAUAAUGCGGGUGAAAAACCCGCACGCCGGAAGACCAAGGGUUCCUGUCCAACGUUAAUCGGGGCAGGGUGAGUCGACCCCUAAGGCGAGGCCGAAAGGCGUAGUCGAUGGGAAACAGGUUAAUAUUCCUGUACUUGGUGUUACUGCGAAGGGGGGACGGAGAAGGCUAUGUUGGCCGGGCGACGGUUGUCCCGGUUUAAGCCGUGUAGGUGUGUGUUCCAGGUAAAUCCGGAAUGCUUUAACACUGAGGCGUGAUGACGAGGCACCACGGUGCUGAAGUGACAAAUGCCCUGCUUCCAGGAAAAGCCUCUAAGCAUCAGGUAACAUCAAAUCGUACCCCAAACCGACACAGGUGGUCAGGUAGAGAAUACCAAGGCGCUUGAGAGAACUCGGGUGAAGGAACUAGGCAAAAUGGUGCCGUAACUUCGGGAGAAGGCACGCUGAUAUGUAGGUGAAGUGAUUUACUCAUGGAGCUGAAAUCAGUCGAAGAUACCAGCUGGCUGCAACUGUUUAUUAAAAACACAGCACUGUGCAAACACGAAAGUGGACGUAUACGGUGUGACGCCUGCCCGGUGCCGGAAGGUUAAUUGAUGGGGUUAUCCGUAAGGAGAAGCUCUUGAUCGAAGCCCCGGUAAACGGCGGCCGUAACUAUAACGGUCCUAAGGUAGCGAAAUUCCUUGUCGGGUAAGUUCCGACCUGCACGAAUGGCGUAAUGAUGGCCAGGCUGUCUCCCACCCGAGACUCAGUGAAAUUGAACUCGCUGUGAAGAUGCAGUGUACCCGCGGCAAGACGGAAAGACCCCGUGAACCUUUACUAUAGCUUGACACUGAACACUGGUCCUUGAUGUGUAGGAUAGGUGGGAGGCUUUGAAGUGUGGACGCCAGUCUGCAUGGAGCCGACCUUGAAAUACCACCCUUUAAUGGCUGGUGUUCUAACGUGGGCCCGUGAUCCGGGUUGCGGACAGUGUCUGGUGGGUAGUUUGACUGGGGCGGUCUCCUCCCAAAGAGUAACGGAGGAGCACGAAGGUUAGCUAAUCCUGGUCGGACAUCAGGAGGUUAGUGCAAAGGCAUAAGCUAGCUUGACUGCGAGAGUGACGGCUCGAGCAGGUGCGAAAGCAGGUCUUAGUGAUCCGGUGGUUCUGAAUGGAAGGGCCAUCGCUCAACGGAUAAAAGGUACUCCGGGGAUAACAGGCUGAUACCGCCCAAGAGUUCAUAUCGACGGCGGUGUUUGGCACCUCGAUGUCGGCUCAUCACAUCCUGGGGCUGAAGUAGGUCCCAAGGGUAUGGCUGUUCGCCAUUUAAAGUGGUACGCGAGCUGGGUUUAGAACGUCGUGAGACAGUUCGGUCCCUAUCUGCCGUGGGCGCUGGAGAAUUGAGGGGGGCUGCUCCUAGUACGAGAGGACCGGAGUGGACGCAUCACUGGUGUUCGGGUUGUCAUGCCAAUGGCACUGCCCGGUAGCUAAAUGUGGAAGAGAUAAGUGCUGAAAGCAUCUAAGCACGAAACUUGCCCCGAGAUGAGUUCUCCCUGACCCUUUAAGGGUCCUGAAGGAACGUUGAAGACGACGACGUUGAUAGGCCGGGUGUGUAAGCGCAGCGAUGCGUUGAGCUAACCGGUACUAAUGAACCGUGAGGCUUAACCUU